AUCUGUCAGUAGAGUGGCCAGCACUCCUAUCCUACAAUCGUGUCCGGUCGGACGGUAUACGUACACGGACGGACGUUGUCUAUUAUGCUUCGCUCACUGUGGCCGACAAGGUUGUACAGGUCCGAGUAACCGACUAGGCGAAGGAGGAUGUACUUCCUGUUAUCUAGCCCGACACUCUAUUUCCACUUCCGGUCUGGAAUGCAUUUCAAGACAUACCGGAUGUCAACAAAAUCAUUAUAUGAGCUUAGCAGGAUCAGACCCGCAACGAGACUUACGGGCGAGAGCUAUAUGCAGACCGUGUCAUUCAGAAUGCCUAGCCUGUACAGGACCAAGACAAAACCAAUGUACCACGUGUCGUCAUUUCCGGUUAGAGGAAUUUUGUGUAGAAGAAUGUCCUGGAGGUUCCAUCAUAAAUUUCAGACUCCGAACUUGUUUUUUUAAUAGUGACUUUACGAGGGAUAGAAUCAUGGAGAGGUUCCGGAUAGCCGUGAUAAACAAUGUUAUUUAAUCAUAUAUCUUAUAUAUGGACUAUCGAUAAUAGUGACUUUAUCAAAUGGCAAGAAGACGAAAAAUGCUAUUUAUAAACAUCACCCAGCUUAAAUUACGACAAUUGCGUGGGAAUCGGGAUUGGUUUCUUACAAGGACUGCUUGAUCCACGUGUCUGUAUUUUGUCCGUUUGAGUCGGCAUGUGAUUUUGGUUGAAUUGGUAGCUUUGCUUGGUUGAUCAAAAUAGGUUCGACGAUUGGUUUAUUCUACAUGUACAUAUCAGUGAUUUGAUUGGUUGAUUCAUUUAAAUUAUCUGAAUCGCGUGUGAUUGUAUUUUUAUUGGUUGAUUCACAUGUGCUCAUGUUUUUAUUGGCUAAUCUACAUGUACACGUGCUAGGAUCGAUCAUGUUAACAUGUUUUUGAUUGGUUUAUUCACGCGUGCUUGUGUUUGAUUGGUCGAUUCACCCUCGUCUAUGAUUCACACUUCUCUGAUUUUUGAUUGGUUGAUUAACAUUUACAUAUGCUUGGAUUGUUUUUGAGAAGUAAACAGGUAACUCCAAUAGGUGUAUUGUUUGAUGUUGACUGAGUGGCUUUAAUUUGUAACA